CCGAUUGUGUGAGCUUUGUUGGAGCCUGCGUACGUGGAUUUAUCGCUGCCACGGUCUGCGUAGCUCCAGAGGUUUAACCAUAGGAUAGAGAAACCAGAUGAGGAAACUGAGCAUCAGAAGAGACCAAACAAUUUGCUGAAGACCCUUCUUCAGCAUCUUCCCUGGGCAUUGCUGUGAGUUUAGGCCGGCCCGUUUUGAGCAGGAGCAGCAGCGGAACAGUAGACCUGCUGGAGGAAGUGGGGCUGCAGAUCAGAGACACAGCAUUUUCGUCAACCAAACUUCUUGAAGCCAUAUCUACAGUAUCAGCUCAAGUGGAAGAGCUUGCCGUCAAAUGUACGGAAAAUGCACGUUUCCUUAAAACAUGACGGGACCUCUUGAAAGAAUGCUGUGAUUCUUGGAAACCUGACAAUUGAUUUGGCAUACUUAGCUCUUUGAUAGUGACUGUGUAAUAAUUCAUACUUCCUCAUAUAUGAUCAUUUCACAUGUGCCACAUAUAUAGGAUAAUAUCUAGCAGUUCUCUAUAUCUUCAGAAUGAAGUUUUUCUUGGUUUUCUUGACCUUUGUAAAAGCAGAAUACUGAUUCUAUUUUUGAUGUUGAUCAGUACUUGUUUAUUCUUACACUUUCUGCCCUUCAAACUUUCAUAAAAUCCUUUACAAAAUUUAAUUUUAUCAGUAGAUAGUUAAUAUUAAUUGUGCCACAGUGCUACCAGUAGCAAACUAAGUGGACCAUUAUUUGUUUUGCAGUAAGAUGCCAAGCAUGGCAGAAUUAGAAGUUGAGCUUCAUCUUAUGGACCAAGGGAGAUAACUUUAAGGUUCCAGCUCCAUUAGGCUGAGUUCUCUAGGCAAAUGAUUGUCUUACUUACUUCGAUAUCCCCAGCACCUAAAACAGUGUCACAUAGCAUUCACUAAAUGUUUAUUGAAAAGAAGAGUUGAUUAACAUAAUACAAAGCUAUUUUUUCUUCCUGUAUUUAGCAGGAAGACUAUAAUUGUUUCUCUAAAAAUGUAUGAAUCAGGACUUUGUUGACUUGAAGGAAAAUGUUAUCUUUUUCACAGAGAUUUUAACUUUGAUGAUAGCUUUUAAAAACAUGAUAAAUACUUUUGUCCUCAAAUGAUUAUUUUAAAAAGUCUUUUUUUUUUGAGACAGAGUCUCAUUCUGUCUCCCAGGCUGGAGUGCAGUGGUGCGAUCUUGGCUCACUGCAAUCUCUGCCUCCUGGGUUCAAGUGAUUCUCCUGCCUCAGCCUCCCUAGUAGCUGGGAUUACAGGCGUGUGCCACCAUACCCGGCUAAUUUUUUGUAUUUUUAGUAGAGACAAGGUUUCACCAUAUUGACCAGGCUGGUCUCGAACUCCUGACCUCAAGUGAUCCACCCGCCUCGGCCUCCCAAAGUGCUGGGAUUACAGGCGUGAGCCACUGCACCCAGCUAAGAAGUCUUUAUUUCAGAAAAUGAAAGACUGUCUAGAAAGAACGAAUUUUUUUUCCUAUUUAUUUCUAUGGUUACUGCUUUUACACUUAAUAUUUUUUGUUUUCGGUAUUUUUAUAUGUUUGAUUGCUGUCUUUAAAGUGCCUUAUCAGAUUUAUGGCUCUGUACUAUGAAUUUUGGAGCUUUACAAGUUAUUUACAUAACUCUAAGUUACUUUGCUUCCAAUACAUCAAAUUUAAAUAACAUGAUUGUUUUUAUAUUAUUUGACCUUAGUGACAAUGUCCUAUUUUAUUUGUUCUGUAUCUUAUGUCGCUUUUUGGUAGUUUGUAUUAUGUGUGAAUGAUUAAGCCAACUAAUUCUGUACCAUAUAUAACUUCUGGAUAUCUUUGAUAUGACAUCUUAAUUCUUUGUAGAUAUGGUGAUGUGUACAGAAUGAUAUUCUGAAGCUCCACAAUGGUGCAUUGAAAGGCUGCAGAUGGAUGGCCAAAGAAUAGUUUUGUUUAGCAUAUUAGGUCUAGUUCUGGACUUUUUUUUUUAUACUUUAAGUUCUGGGGUACAUGUGCAGAACAUGCAGUUUUGUUACAUAGGUAUACACGUGCCAUGGUGGUUUGCUGCACCCAUCAACCCAUCACCUACAUUAGGUAUUUCUCCUAAUGUUAUCCCUCGCCUAAUCCCCACCCCCCGACAGGCCCCAGUGUGUGAUGCUUCCCUCCUUAUGUCUGUGUGUUCUCAUUGUUCAAAUCCCACUUACGAGUGAGAACAUGCAGUGUUUGGUUUUCUGUUCAUGUGAUAGUUUGCUGAGAAUUAUUGUUUCCAGCUUCAUCCAUGUCCCUGCAAAGGACAUGAACUCAUCCUUUUUUAUGGCUGCGGAGUAUUCCAUGGUGUAUAUGUGCCACAUUUUCUUUAUCCAGUCUGUUAUUGAUGGACAUUUAGGUUGGUUCCAAGUCUUUGCUAUUGUGAAUAGUGCCUCAAUAAACAUACAUGUGCAUGU
ensembl:lncRNA novel transcript